UUUUACCUGCAUUUUGACGAUAUAUUUUAGUAUUUAUAGAUAAUCGGUGCUAUGGUGAGCUGAAUGUAUUGGCAGUGAAACAUCUGCAAGUUUUAUCCUCUCCCGGAAAUCUUAACCAGUUUGUCUUUUAGCAGGUCUAGAAGAAGCACAAAUAUGAUGAUGUGAAACCGAAGAGCCCAUAAAAAGAAAUGAUGAGGAAGAUAGAAAGAAGACAUGGAGAAAUCAAAGAAAUAACUUUUUAUAAAAGUCUAUAGUGCAUGGAGUUAUGUCAGAUGAUGUUACUCGGUUAUUGAAUCGGAGUCACCACUACUCAGUUGUGGGCUUACAUGGCUUAUCUUAGCCGAGAAUAUAGGAAAGGUAAUGUGUUAUUAUUUCAUUGAAGUGAAUGUCUCUCAACCUUAUUAGUUGCUGGAUACUCAUAAGCAAGAAAAACUUAUAUUGAGUUUGUAAGCUUUGUUAGACAAUGCUGGUCCAUCCAGAAAAGUAUGGAGAGUGAGAUAGUAGUUGAAGCUUUUAAGAACUGCAUAACCCAUAUGAUGUAGUGAUUGUGGUUCAUCAUUUGUAUUGGUGUAUCAAGUACCUCCAUCUCUGAUCUCCCUAGCUGUUUUACAUUGGGAAUUUGAGCUGGGGGAGGAAUACUAAGAAU